CCCAUCAUAUUGUCAAAAGCCUAAAACUCAUGUGUGAAGCCCACAUAUUGUGGAAUACAAAUGUGCGGAGAUAAGGUAUUUCCACAUUACUGCUACCACACCAACCACACCACGUCAAAUGCCUUACUCAAUUCAGCACCAUUCACCCAUAUGAUAAAGCAUCAGGAAAUUUACCUCAACCUGAGGAGUAAGGCUGUUGGUUGCUGUGAUUUCCAUUUUCUAGGUUUUUUAUCAUGAAAACUUCAGUGUGCUUGUUAGUAUAGCACAUAAUAGAUCCUUAAGCCAAUGCUGACCUUUGUCCCUGAAGGAAGAGGUACAUCCAGCAACGUUCUGCUCCAUCCUUAUUUUCCCGACGUACGCUCAUCUAACUUCACUGCUUUUGCUGCUACAACUUGUCUUACUUCACCGACGAGUUAGAACACUUCAGUGGACGCUACCCUUUGCUGUUACACACCUGCAGUUACUCACCACGGGAUUAUGCCCAGGUACCCAACAAUUGACUUAUAUUCUUAGGUUAUCUACCAAUAGUCUAGUUGCGUUAAAGUCUGUGUAUGUGUAAUAAUUCCAAAAUCAGGCCCUU